GAUGAACGCUGGCGGCGUGCUUAACACAUGCAAGUCGAACGGAAAGGCCCAAGCUUGCUUUGGUACUCGAGUGGCGAACGGGUGAGUAACACGUGGGUGAUCUGCCCUUCACUUCGGGAUAAGCCUGGGAAACUGGGUCUAAUACUGGAUAGGACCACUUCUUGGAUGGUGUGGUGGUAAGAUUUUCCGGUGUGGGAUGAGCGCGCGGGCUAUCAGCUUGUUGGGGGGGUAUUGGCGUACCAAGGCGUCGACGGGUAGCCGGCCUGAGAGGGUGUACGGGCACAUUGGGACAGAGAUACGGGCCAGACUCCUACGGGGGGGAGAAAUGGGGAAAAUUGUACAAAGGGGGCGAGCCUGAUGCAGAGAAGCCGCGUGGGGGAGGAGGGCGUUCGCGGUGUAAACUCCUCUCGCUACGGAGGAAGAGUUUUUGUGACGGUACCUGGAGAAGAAGCACCGGCUAACUACGUG
rnacentral:rRNA from 1 species